rfam:Triticum aestivum genome assembly, contig: Triticum_aestivum_CS42_TGACv1_scaffold_321255_4BL
UUUGUACUCCCUCCGUCCCAAAAUUCUUGUCUUAGAUUUGUCUAGAUAUUAGAUACAUCCGUAUAAUAUCUAGACUAGACAAAUCUAAGACAAGAAUUUUGGGACGGAGGGAGUACUAA